rnacentral:rRNA from 1 species
ACUCCGUUUUAAAGCGCACGAUUUUCCGUGCCGCCUAUCGAAAGGGNAUCCGGUUAAGAUUCCGGAACCAGGAUGUGGAUCAUUGACGGUAACGUAAAUGAAGUUGGAGACGUCGGCAAGGGCCCUGGGAAGAGUUCUCNUUUCUCCUUAACCGCCUACGACCUCGAAAUCGGAUUAUCCGGAGCUGAGGNNAUAUGGUGGGUAAAGCACAACACCUCUGUUGUGUCCGGUGCGUCCNNGACGAUCCUUGAAAAUCCGACGGAACGUAUAAGUCUCACGCC